rnacentral:rRNA from 1 species
UACGGAGGGGACUAGCGUUGUUCGGAAUUACUGGGCGUAAAGCGUGCGUAGACGGUUUCGUAAGUCGGGUGUGAAAUCCCCGGGCUCAACCUGGGAAUUGCAUUCGAAACUGCGAGGCUAGGGUACGGAAGAGGGAAGCGGAAUUUCUGGUGUAGCGGUGAAAUGCGUAGAUAUCAGAAGGAACAUCAGUGGCGAAAGCGGCUUCCUGGUCCAGUACCGACGUUCAGGCACGAAAGCGUGGGGAGCAAACAGG